AGGUGGGGAUGACGUCAAAUCAUCAUGCCCCUUAUGACCUGGGCUACACACGUGCUACAAUGGGAAGUACAACGAGUUGCGAAGUCGCGAGGCUAAGCUAAUCUCUUAAAGCUUCUCUCAGUUCGGAUUGCAGGCUGCAACUCGCCUGCAUGAAGCCGGAAUCGCUAGUAAUCGCGGAUCAGCACGCCGCGGUGAAUACGUUCCCGGGCCUUGUACACACCGCCCGUCACACCACGAGAGUUUGUAACACCCGAAGUCGGUGAGGUAACCUUUUGGAGCCAGCCGCCUAAGGUGGGAUAGAUGAUUGGGGUGAAGUCGUAACAAGGUAGCCGUAUCGGAAGGUGCGGCUGGAUCACCUCCUUU
rnacentral:rRNA from 1 species